rnacentral:rRNA from 1 species
UGGGGAAUAUUGGACAAUGGGCGCAAGCCUGAUCCAGCCAUGCCGCGUGAGUGAUGAAGGCCCUAGGGUUGUAAAGCUCUUUCACCGGUGAAGAUAAUGACGGUAACCGGAGAAGAAGCCCCGGCUAACUUCGUGCCAGCAGCCGCGGUAAUACGAAGGGGGCUAGCGUUGUUCGGAUUUACUGGGCGUAAAGCGCACGUAGGCGGACUUUUAAGUCAGGGGUGAAAUCCCGGGGCUCAACCCCGGAACUGCCUUUGAUACUGGAAGUCUUGGGUAUGGUAGAGGUGAGUGGAAUUCCGAGUGUAGAGGUGAAAUUCGUGGAUAUUCGGAGGAACACAAGUGGCGAAGGCGGCUCUCUGGACCAUUACUGACGCUGAGGUGUGAGAGCGUGGGGAGCAAACAGG